CUAGUUUGCUAUCGAACUAGAAGUCGUGAUUUCAUCAUGAAAACUGCAAUCUUAGUUUUUGCGAUAUUUUGUGCAUGUUCUGCAUUCAAAUUCAAUGUGCAUCCCGACAUUGUAAAGUCAUGGGCUGCCAUGGUAACUCCUUAUAUGGAAGAAUGUUCUGUUGAAACCAAUGUGAACAUAAAGGCAGGAUACGCGGGAAUUUUUAGUAUGAAUUUUCCCGACACCCACGAAUACGAAUGUCUUGGUGAAUGUGUUUGGCGACGAUGGGGUUACUACGACCCAGAAUCCAAAACAUUUGAUUAUCAAAGAAUCGAAGAUUACGUAUUAGGAUUUUCGAAGGAGCUUACUAAGAAAUGCGUCCAGAAAUACGCACAUAUUGAUGAUGACUGCGAAAAAGUGUUUUCUGUCAUAAAAUGUGGUGCUGCAAGACUUUCUAAGCGCUAUUAAUAACGAUUCCCUUGCUGUUGGUAAUUUAUAAAAUAUUUCAGACCGUCCA